rnacentral:rRNA from 1 species
AUUGAACGCUGGCGGCAGGCCUAACACAUGCAAGUCGAACGAGUGGCGGACGGGUGAGUCAUAACUGGGAAACUGCCUGAUGGAGGGGGAUAACUACUGGAAACGGUAGCUAAUACCGCAUACCAUCAGAUGUGCCCAUAUGGGAUUAGCUAGUUGGUGGGGUAACGGAGCACCAAGGCGACGAUCCCUAGCUGGUCUGAGAGGAUGACCAGCCACACUUGAACUGAGACACGGUCCAGACUCCUACGGGAGGCAGCAGUGGGGAAUAUUGCACAAUGGGCGCAAGCCUGAUACAGCCAUGCCGCGUGUAUGAAGAAGGCCUUCGGGUUGUAAAGUACUUUCAGCGGGGAGGCGUUACCCGCAGAAGAAGCACCGGCUAACUCCGUGCCAGCCGCCGCGGUAAUUC